rnacentral:rRNA from 1 species
AUUCUCUAGUAGCGGCGAGCGAAGCGGGAAGAGCUCAAAUUUAUAAUCUGGCACCUUCGGUGUCCGAGUUGUAAUCUCUAGAAGUGUUUUCCGCGUUGGACCGCACACAAGUCUGUUGGAAUACAGCGGCAUAGUGGUGAAACCCCCGUAUAUGGUGCGGACGCCCAGCGCUUUGUGAUACACUUUCAAUGAGUCGAGUUGUUUGGGAAUGCAGCUCAAAUUGGGUGGUAAAUUCCAUCUAAAGCUAAAUAUUGGCGAGAGACCGAUAGCGAACAAGUACCGUGAGGGAAAGAUGAAAAGCACUUUGGAAAGAGAGUUAACAGUACGUGAAAUUGUUGGAAGGGAAACGCUUGAAGUCAGACUUGCUUGCCGGAGCUUGCUUCGGUUUGCAGGCCAGCAUCAGUUUUCCGGGGUGGAUAAUGACGGUUUGAAGGUAGCAGUCUCGGCUGUGUUAUAGCUUUCCGUUGGAUACAUCCUGGGGGACUGAGGAACGCAGCGUGCUUUUUGCGAAAGACUCGUCUUUUUCACGCUUAGGAUGCUGGUGGAAUGGCUUUAAACGACCCGUCUUGAAACACGGACAC